rnacentral:rRNA from 1 species
UACGUAGGUGGCAAGCGUUGUCCGGAUUUACUGGGCGUAAAGAGCGCGCAGGCGGUCAAGUAAGUCGAAUGUGAAAGCCCCCGGCUCAACUGGGGAGGGUCAUUCGAUACUGCUCGACUUGAAGGCAGGAGAGGGCAGCAGAAUUCCCGGUGUAGUGGUGAAAUGCGUAGAUAUCGGGAGGAAUACCAGUGGCGAAGGCGGCUGCCUGGCCUGUUCUUGACGCUGAGGCGCGAAAGCGUGGGUAGCAAACAGG